GGAGGCGUCUGGGUGCCUGGUGGCCCCCCCGGUCUUCAAAACCGGUGAGCGCUGCGCAGCGGCGCUGGCGGGUUCGAUUCCCGUCCGCCUCCGCUGCCA
rnacentral:tRNA from 1 species